CAAGGUGGUGGAUUGCACGCAG
rnacentral:siRNA from 1 species